GACGAACGCUGGCGGCGUGCCUAAUACAUGCAAGUCGAGCGGACUAAUGGGAGCUUGCUCCCGUUAGUUAGCGGCGGACGGGUGAGUAACACGUGGGCAACCUACCUGUAAGACUGGGAUAACUUCGGGAAACCGGAGCUAAUACCGGAUGACAUAAAGGAACUCCUGUUCCUUUAUUGAAAGAUGGCUUCGGCUAUCACUUACAGAUGGGCCCGCGGCGCAUUAGCUAGUUGGUGAGGUAACGGCUCACCAAGGCGACGAUGCGUAGCCGACCUGAGAGGGUGAUCGGCCACACUGGGACUGAGACACGGCCCAGACUCCUACGGGAGGCAGCAGUAGGGAAUCUUCCGCAAUGGACGAAAGUCUGACGGAGCAACGCCGCGUGAGCGAUGAAGGCCUUCGGGUCGUAAAGCUCUGUUGUUAGGGAAGAAUAAGUGCUAGUUGAAUAAGCUGGUACCUUGACGGUACCUAACCAGAAAGCCACGGCUAACUACGUGCCAGCCGCCGCAGUAAGAC
rnacentral:rRNA from 1 species